UACGUAGGGGGCAAGCGUUGGUCCGGAAUCAUUGGGCGUAAAGAAGCGUGUAGGUGGCCCCGAUCAGUCCGCCGUGAAAAGUCCAGGGGCUCAACCCCUGGAAUGCCGGUGGAUACUGUCGGGCUGGAGUCCGGAAGAGGCGAGUGGAAUUCCUGGUGUAGCGGUGAAAAUGCGCAGAUAUCAGGAGGAACACCAAUGGCGAAGGCAGCUCGCUGGGGACGGUACUGACACUGAGACGCGAAAAGCGUGGGGGAGCAAAACAGG
rnacentral:rRNA from 1 species